AUUGAACGCUGGCGGCAGGCCUAACACAUGCAAGUCGAACGAGUGGCGGACGGGUGAGUAAUGUCUGGGAAACUGCCCGAUGGAGGGGGAUAACUACUGGAAACGGUAGCUAAUACCGCAUACCAUCGGAUGUGCCCAGAUGGGAUUAGCUAGUAGGUGGGGUAAUGGCUCACCUAGGCGACUAUCCCUAGCUGGUCUGAGAGGAUGACCAGCCACACUGGAACUGAGACACGUUCCAGACUCCUACGGGAGGCAGCAGUUGGGAAUAGUGCACAAUGGGCGCAAGCCUGAUGCAGCCAUGCCGCGUGUAUGAAGAAGGCCUUCGGGUUGUAAAGUACUUUCAGCGAGGAGGCGUGACUCGCAGAAGAAGCACCGGCUAACUCCGUGCCAGCAGCCGCGGUAUUC
rnacentral:rRNA from 1 species